rnacentral:rRNA from 1 species
UACGGAGGGAGCUAGCGUUGUUCGGAUAUACUGGGCGUAAAGCGCACGUAGGCGGCGCCGUAAGUCAGGGGUGAAAUCCCGGAGCUCAACUCCGGAACUGCCUUUGAAACUGCGGUGCUAGAAUCCUGGAGAGGCGAGUGGAAUUCCGAGUGUAGAGGUGAAAUUCGUAGAUAUUCGGAAGAACACCAGUGGCGAAAGCGGCUCACUGGACCAUAACUGACGCUGAGGCACGAAAGCGUGGGGAGCAAACAGG